rnacentral:lncRNA from 1 species
CUGGAUUUGGUGCUGUUGGUUCGUCCACUCAUUCUUUUGUCUUCCUAGGUUUUGGCACAAAUACCAGUGGGAAUAGUAUUUUUGGAAGUAAACCAGCACCGGGGACUCUUGGAACUGGGCUUGGUGCAGGAUUUGGAACAGCUCUUGGUGCUGGACAGGCAUCUUUGUUUGGGAACAACCAACCUAAGAUUGGAGGGCCUCUUGGUACAGGAGCCUUUGGGGCCCCUGGAUUUAAUACUACGACAGCCACUUUGGGCUUUGGAGCCCCCCAGGCCCCAGUAGCUUUGACAGAUCCAAAUGCUUCUGCUGCCCAGCAGGCUGUUCUCCAGCAGCACAUCAAUAGUCUAACAUACUCACCUUUUGGAGACUCUCCUCUCUUCCGGAAUCCGAUGUCAGACCCUAAGAAGAAGGAAGAGAGAUUGAAACCAACAAAUCCAGCAGCCCAGAAGGCUCUUACUACACCUACUCAUUAUAAACUGACACCCCGCCCUGCCACUAGAGUCCGGCCAAAGGCUUUACAAACAACAGGCACAGCCAAGUCACAUCUCUUUGAUGGGCUGGAUGACGAUGAACCAUCCCUAGCCAAUGGAGCAUUCAU